UCCGAGUUGACCCCGGCAGUCUCCUACGAGUCCCCGGCAUAACCCGCUGGCAACAUAGGACAAGGGUUGCGCUCGUUGCGGGACUUAACCCAACAUCUCACGACACGAGCUGACGACAGCCAUGCAGCACCUGUGUAGGCUGGUAUUGCUACCUCGUCACCCUUUCAGGCUUCUACUACCUACAUGUCAAGGACAGGUAAGGUUCUUCGCGUUGCAUCGAAUUGAGCCACAUACUCCACCGCUUGUGCAGGCCCCCGUCAAUUUCUUUGAGUUUUAAUCUUGCGGCCGUAGUUCCCAGGCGGUGGAGUCAUCGCGUAAGCUUGGGCACUGCGGGGCGCAAUCACCCCCCAACACCGGCUCCACAUCGUUUACGGCGUGGACUAC
rnacentral:misc_RNA from 1 species